CCUACACCUACUCUUAUCACUUGUAAUCCAAAAAAGCUCCAUUUCUUUCUUGCACGCUAAUUCACUAUUAAAUAGAAAUGUAUAUGCAAAACAGCGAGAAAUUUGUAGAUACGUUGAAUGUUGUUGCUUUCACAUUUGCAACUCUUAGUAGUUGUUCAAAACAACAAUGUCGAGCAAAGAUGUUUGCGAUGUUUGAAUGAUUCUUGGAUUGUAUUUGGAUUCCAUCGGUACUAUGGCCUGUUGAUUCGGCACCUUUGUCAUUUUAGCAACUUUUGUUUUCUUUUCUGUGUCGAUGUAGUUCUCUAUACCAUAUUCAUGUUCAUAUUCAUGUUCAUAUUCAUGUUCAUAUCAAUGUCCAUAUCAAGGUCCAUAUCAAUGUCCAUAUCAAUUUCCCAUGUUCCAUUACAUAUCCCGUGUUCUUUCCUUCUUCCAGCUUUUACAUGCUAGCCUUUUAUACAAUGAUUCCUCUCAUCUCGACUCGCUUGAUGAAUGGGCGUUUAGUUUUUGCAACAACAUAUGCGUUGGGUUAUCUCAUAUCGGGAAACACUUUCUGCCACUUUUAACUUGAACAAAGUUGGAGAAAUAAAGUGAUGGCAGAUAUUGCAAGUUGNUUAUAGUGUGCCUGUAGAAAUGUAAAAACGCUAUGUUUCGUGAAUGCCCAGCCUGUAAAUCGAAAUAAGAUUUCGUAUUUAUUAAGCAUUGGAAGAUCACAAUUGGAAAAAACACGAUACGGNUGGUCUCUUCACAGUCGUUCUCCAGUAAU
rnacentral:sRNA from 1 species